UUUUUUUUUUCUUUUUCAGGCUGCACCUGCGGUAUAUGGGAGCUCCCAGGCUGGCGGCUGAAUUGGAGCUGCAGCUGCUGGCCACAGCCACAACCAGAGCAAUGCCAUACCCAAGCCACAUCUGUGACCUACACCAUAGCUCAUGGAAAUGCCGCAUCCUUAACCCACUGAGUGAGGCCAGGGAUUGAACCUGAAUCUUCAGGGAUCCUAGUCAGUUUCAUUACCAGCUGAGACACAACGGGAACUCCUAAUAACACAAUUUUAAAGAAGAAUACUAGAGGAGUUCUCUUGCGGCACAGGGGGUUAAGGACCCGGCAUUAUUACUACAGUCACUUGGGUCGCUGCUGGGGCAUGGGUUGGAACCCUGGCCUAGGAACUUCUAUAUACGUGGGCUCAGCCAAAAAAAGAAAAAGAAGAAAAACGCUAGAAACCAAGCAAACACAUCUACAGGGCACUUGUGGCCUAAAGGUUAUCAGACUGGACCCCGGCUUAUACUUUGACUGAAAGCCCUGGACUGCCUCUGGAUGGGCCGUACCUUCUGACUCUUUGAUCCUAUAUAGUUUCACAAACAGCCCUUUCUCUACUCACACAGUCCCUAGUUUUCUGAAGUCAGGACUGGUCAGUACACCUCUGAGGCCCAAGACCACCCAAGAAGAGACAGUCUGUCUUUCUCUUCUGCCUUUCUCCCGACAGGCUCCCAUGGAAGUAGGGUUGAAAAACUUCACCCCAAAAAACAAACCCUUUAGGAAGCUCCUGCUUCCUAGGCCUCAGAGGGUCUCUAUCAGCUGCAACCCACUUUUCAAUCAAUCUUAUCUGUAAUGUUUGCAGACUGCGCCGGCCACCCCCAAAGCCAGCUGUGUUAUCAGCAAUCAGCAGCAUGGUGAGGACAGAGCAUAGGCACAGUUGAGAACAAGGCUAAAAAUAACCAUUUUCAAAUUAAAGUCCUGAAUUGGAAAGGAAAGGAGGGAGGAGAAGCAAGACACGGUAGGGCAGGUUUUAUUUACUUACACCCAUGAAUCAAAGAUAAAAGGAGGAAAAAGACAUUUCGAAGGAGUUGGGACUAUGGCAGAAUUGUUUUCAUCUCCAGGAAUGUCAAAACACAAAUGAUGAUGCAAAGCAAAUGCCUGUCAGACAAACCCAAAAGAAGCUUAUUUACACAUUUGGGAUGAGCGGGGUUGUAAAUGAAGGUUUAAUUGGGAAAAUCUGCCUAGUCAUUUGAACAAGCAGACCUAAAAACAGACAUAACACAGUGUUGAGAGGAAAAUGAAUUUAAGGAAGUUUCUUUUCCAUUGCUUUACUCUAAUACAUUUCCCCCAUUCCUCUGCCUCUAUUCCAUUUUCAUUUCUAUUAGAAAAAACACUUCUCAGCAUUUCCCAGGCUGCCCUUAACCUUUCUGACUUGCUCACUUGGGGCCUGUGGAAGACAAAGCAUUCUUUCAAUGACUGGAGACAGGCUCUGGGCAGUACCCAACGCACACAGGCUGACCUCCAGGGCUGGGAGGGUGGCUUCCUAAAAGCAAACAGCGCAAAGGCUAAUGGAUUAGGGAAGGUGUGUAGACUGCUCAACCGGAUGUGCAGCAAACAAAAAGUAUUCAAUAAACAUUAGUUUCUUUACCUGCCACUCACUGCAGAAUUGGCAUUUAUUACCAAAUAUAUGUAUCUCUCACCUACUCACAUCUACAAUAAGAAUUUUUUCUGGGAAGAAUUGUAUCAAUAUAGUAAUAAUGAUUAUUUUUAGAUGGAAGGUUAUGGUUGAUGCAGUUUCCUUCUUUAUAUUUUUAUUCAAGUUUUUUAAUUUUCUGCAAUAUCAAAGAAAAAUAAGAUGAUUUUUAAAUCCAAAAUUCUGGAUGCUAUUAUAUUAAGUGUGUGUCCCUUGAUCAGACCUUCUAGUAAAAUCGAUUCACUAGUGAGUUUUAAAACUCAGGUUUUCGUUCUCUUUUUUGGCUCUUUCAAACAGUGCCAAAAUUUGGCAUUUUGCCAAUUUUUACUGAGGAGGAUUGGUCCUAACACCAGCUCUGAAUUGAUUGUGAUGCCAUUUGUCAUGACUGUAAUCUCCCAAAACAUGCCCAAAAAAGCACAUAUAAACAUAAAAGUAAUUAGUAGAACAUACACAAUUUGUUUCAUCUUUUGGCCAUUAUUCUUAGGUAAGACUCUGUUAUCUGUGGCAGAUAUUUAGAAUGAACUGUACCGUUUCCCCCUCAGUGCACCUAGUUUCAGAACUUGUAUGGUGGACAGUUCCGUGCAUCUUCACCAGCAUCCCAUGGUGCCUCUCUGUACUGCUUUCUAUAAGUUGGGGAAAAUAGCUUAGUCAGAUGAAGGUGCAACCCGGAGACGUGAGAUGUGCAACCCCAAUGCAAUGCUCAUGCAACGAGAGACAAAAGUCUAUGGAUAAACAUCCCAAUGUUUUGUUCUCCAGCAGGAUAAUUCUAAGCAGAAAUCAGCCCAUUAACACAUACUCUUUUGUUUUUCUGCCUUUCUUGUCCCUCUCUCCAUUUUCCCACAUUUCUGUUUUCUGUGAUCACAACCAAAAUAAAAUCUCAUAUCAACUCCUUGUCUUAGGGUCAGCUUUAAGGGGCAGGAGGAGGUGCGGCUGGACCCAGAGUAAGACAUCAUAAUUAUAAUUCACAGGUUAAAAGGAGUCUUCAAGUCACUAAUGACAAUAAUGUCCCUAAUAACAAAUGCAGUUGACAUUUUAUUCGUUAGAAUGUGGUGCCAAAGGCAAACUGACCGUAUAAACAACACUCACAUAGAAUGGGACUGAAACAAAAUACCUUUCUGUCUAGACAUGCUAUUAGUUAUACAGAACUGUGCCAGACACUGAGACAAAAUGAACAAGUAAAUAAGUGCUGGGGAGUUCCCUGGCGGUCUAGUGGUUAGACUUUGGCACUUCACCACCACAACUCAGGUAUAAUUCCUGGUCUGGGAACUGAGAUCCCACAUCAAGCUACAUAGAAAAAAAAAAAAAAAAAAAAAGAGUUUGCAUCAUGGCUCAGCUAACGAACCCGACCAGUAUCCAUGAGGAUGUGGAUUCAAUCCCUGGCCUCAUUCAGUGAGUCAAGGAUCCGGACUGCCUUGAGCAUAGGCCACAGAUUCGGCUCGGAUCUGGUGUUGCUGUGGCUGUGGUGUAGGCCAGCAGCUACAGCUUCAAUUUGAUCCCUAGCCUGGGAACUUACAUACACCAUGGGUGCAGCCCUAAAAAGACAAAAAAAAAAAAAAAAAAUGCAAGUGCUCUCAACAGUCCAUGAGUAAAACCUAUAUUUUUCUAACUGCUGACCUUAAAGAACCAAGUCCAAGGCACAUGAUAGCGGAGUUCCCUGGUGGGGAGCGACAGGCAUGGAAGACUUGCCUCAUUCAACAGUAACUGCCUUCUUAUUCUUGAUUUUUGAUUUCUGACAGCCUAAUAGUAGAAGAGGAAUUAUGUCAAGUUUCCUGCUUAGCAUGAGCUCUGCCACAGGACCAAGACAUAUAAUAUGUAUACUUGCUUUCCUGCCACAAAGCUGUGACACUUUAUCAAAGCUUCACAAAGUCAUUCCCUCUUAGUAUAACUCUGGACAACUUGUGUCCAUCUUCGCUCGGGGACAAGGACAUUCACUGUAUCCUAUUUUCAUUGACUUUUCUAAACAUUAUAUAAAUGUUGACACACAUUUGACAAAACAAAUUCACUAAUUAAAUCCCUUUUCUCCCUCAACAUUAUUUAUAAUCUAAUAAUUUAAUAACUAUGAAUCCCAGAUUCCUCACUAAAUAUAUGACCUCGCUUAGUCAAACUUCAGUAUUUUGUUCUAUAAAAUAUAAGCAGCAAUAAAACACUGUACCUUGUUGUGAAUGUUACAAAAACCCCUGAAAUGUGUUUUGUGAAGUCUCUAGCACAAAAACACAUCUAAAUGUUAAAUACUAUUAUUAAAAUCAGAUCCAAUUAUAAUAAUAACUGCACGAUGAAAAAAUACCAAGUCAGUUUCGCACUUAGAAUCUGAAGACCCUUUAACUAAAAGAUAUAUAAGGUCUCUCAUUCUAACCUUUUCAUUUUCCUAUGCAAUUUAACCUUCAUUAAAACUGAAUUAUAAAAUGUAAAGACAUGAAUUUCUAAAAAAGCAAAAAUGAUCAAGAUACCCAUCUGGGGAUCUCACAACAGAGAAAGGAAAGCAGAUAUACAGAUUUCUUUUUUUUUCAAUUUUUUAAAAAUUUUAAAUGAUUUUUUUUCCCCAUUACAGCUGGUUUACAGUGUUCUGUUAAUUUUCUACUGUAUAGCAAGGUGACCAGUCACAGACACAUAUAUACAAUUUCUUUUUCUCGCAUUAUCCUCCAUCAUGCUCCAUCGUUAAGUGACUAGAUACAGUUCCCGCUGCUAUACAGCAGGACAUACACAGAUUUCAUCAUGCACUAAACAUUUCUGAAAUGCCAGCUUUGUACUAGAACUGCACUAGGAAAUAGAGACACGAAGACAAAUAAGACUCUUAGUCUCCUCUGACAGAAGCAGCUGUCCAGUGAACAAAUAAAGAGCCCAAGUAUCAGUAUGGUAUGUACAAUGUAACAGGAGACGACCUUAAAAGGAAUAAGGAGCUCUCUUCAGGGGAGGUGGAGAUGGGGGAAGAUGAGGUAACGCUUCACAGUUAUGACUAUUCAACUGGAUGUGAAGGAGGAAUAGGAGUCAGCAAGUUAAUCAAUGGGAAAAGGGGGUUCCAGAACACAGAAUAUACAAAAGCAAAGAAUCCUGGAAGAAUAUAGUGUCUUCAGGGAACUCCACGUAGUUCAAUUGGAUUGGACCCAGGAGCAAUGGGGACCACAGGAGAAAAGAUGUGGGAAAACAAUUCUCAAAAUGGUCAACGGUGAUUAUUUUGAAAUGACCAUAACGGCAUUAUAGGUAAAACUGUACGAAAUACUAAAGGCCCCUAAGGUUGGCUCCCUUGCCCACUUUCACAUAACUAGCUUAUGCCAAAACUAAAACUAGAAGCUAAAUAUCCAGCACAAAUGAACAUCUCCUCAGAAAAGAAAAUCAUGGACUUGGAGAAGAGACUUGUGGCUGCCUGAUGGGAGGGGGAGGGAGUGGGAGGGAUCGGGAGCUUGGGCUUAUCAGACACAACUUAGAAUAGAUUUACAAGGAGAUCCUGCUGAAUAGCAUUGAGAACUAUGUCUAGAUACUCAUGUGCAACAGAACAAAGGGUGGGGGAAAAACUGUAAUUGUAAUGUAUACAUGUAAGGAUAACCUGACCCCCUUGCUGUACAGUGGG
rnacentral:lncRNA from 1 species